GUCAUUAACUCUAACGACACUUGUGUUGUAAAUUGUUGAACGGCAUCAUGGAUUUUUAUCCACUUUAAUCGUUUAUAUUUAGAUCUAGAUCUAAACUCUUUUUAUCUUUUCAAUUGCAAACGUCCAAUCACAUUAUUCUGCAUUAGAUCAACGGAUUAUUAAACUAUUAGGAUCUGCACUUACCAAGGGCGGAGCACUCUGAGACGGACGUUUGGUCAAACAACCGUCAAAAUAGAGAGUCGAGAGGUGUCUCUGUUAGCCAUUUAUAGGCACAGAACUUUUGAUCUACUGUCGUGGAAGUCUGACUGGCCCAUUGGUGCCGGAAGUUGAAUUCAAUAGACUUCCUGCAGCAUGAUUUCGCGAUUAGCAGAAGUCAACGUAUUAUAGAUUUUAUUUUUACUUUUAUUAUAUGUGUGUGUGUGUGACUUACG
rnacentral:sRNA from 1 species